GAUGAACGCUAGCGGCAGGCUUAAUACAUGCAAGUCGAGGGGCAGCAUGACUGUAGCAAUACAGUUGAUGGCGACCGGCAAACGGGUGCGGAACACGUACAGAACCUUCCUUCGAGCGGGGAAUAGCCCAGAGAAAUUUGGAUUAAUACCCCAUAGUAUAUUGGAGUGGCAUCACUUUGAUAUUAAAGAUUUAUCACUUGAAGAUGGCUGUGCGGCUGAUUAGAUAGUUGGCGGGGUAACGGCCCACCAAGUCCGCGAUCAGUAACUGGUGUGAGGGCACGACCAGUCACACGGGCACUGAGACACGGGCCCGACUCCUACGGGAGGCAGCAGUAAGGAAUAUUGGUCAAUGGACGAAAGUCUGAACCAGCCAUGCCGCGUGGAGGAUGAAGGCCCUCUGGGUUGUAAACUUCUUUUAUCUGGGACGAAAAAGGACCUUUCUAGGUCAACUGACGGUACCAGAGGAAUAAGCACCGGCUAACUCCGUGCCAGCCGCCGCAGUAACAC
rnacentral:rRNA from 1 species